CAUAGCCUUUAGAACAUUGAAGCAGACACAAGAGCCGAAUCAAUCCCCCUGCUGCCUCUAAUCAGUGAUUAGGGACUCAUUCAAGCAUUUAUAACAGCUCUUUGCUCUCCAGUCGGAGGAAAUAACAGCAUCAUGAGACUCUUCCCAGUGAGUCCUCUGCAUGAAGGAACUAUCUGCAGAACUGGUGAUAGUGUUUACAUCACUCUGAUAAUAGUCCAAACGAAACAAGAUACCUUGCAUAUGUUGCAAUUUUGUCUUGCCCAAAAGAUGCAUGUGGCUAAACCAGGACCCUGUUGGAUGAAAGAAAUUCCAGAGACAAUGGUCCUCCAGAGGAUGAGUAAGUGUUUCUCCUGCAGUGGAUGGAGAGCCCUGGAUUAAUCAUUUGAAGGCCUUUCAUGGCAUUACCUUUACAAGAAUUUGCACUGCUCCCAACUAUACCUGGCACCUCAUCUGACACACUGAUGAUGUAAGAAGGAUUUAGUCAAACAAAUGACACCAUCUGUCUCCUUGGAACCACUGAAGAAGUGUUUAGAUCUACACAGGGUUUGAAUAUAUGACUCCGACCACUAAUUCAUUGGCCUGUUCCAUGAUAAAUCUUCAAUGUUCAUAGACUGAGCAAGGAGGUAAGGGAGAAGGAAGGAGUGAAGAGGCUGCUUUUUGAGGCAUUAAGACAUCCCAUGUAUUCAGGAUGGAGGUGCCCUGACUUUUUCUUUAAAGAAGUUGGGCUGAUCAAUAAACCACAGUCUUCACAAAAGCCCUCUGAGAAACUUUGACAGUGCUCUCCACAUGCCUUUACUCUGUGAUUUUCUUAUAAACAGCUCUCAAGCUACUUGGAUAUUAGGACAUCUGAGUGUGUUGGACAGUCUUGAUCCUCCAGCCUUUUCCAUAAAGUAUCUCCAUUCUGUUGGGGUGUUGGGUGGCCACCUUCCAUAGGCCACAUCAACUAUGUCUCUGUCCUCUGGCUUUGGUUGGCCUUAGUUAUUGGGAGGCCCUGGUAGAUUAGUGAGUUGAGAGGAAAGAAGUUAGGGAUUUUAUUUCAUGGCAGACCUUGAGCUGUCAGCAGCUUUUUUCUUCAACAAGAAAAUCCUCCUAUAGGGCUGCUCUACCCAAUAGCUGCUUUCUUGCCUUCACCUUCAGGUCUAGUGGUAAUAUUCGCUUUACCAUCUCUUUUACCUACUUUAACCCUGACCUCACACUUGAUUAAAUUAUUUCUCUUUACCCUUUUUGAGUGUGACAUUCCUUUCCUGAUAUACUGAGGCCAUUCUUUCCGUAGAAAAUUUCUGUUUGCCAAAUUCCUCCUUGGGUUGGUCAUGGGAGCCUCUGAGUACUUAGAACUCAGUCCAGUGUCAAACUGCUAAAGAUCACAUUUUUAAGAGGAUAAUUGGCUAAAAUAUUUUCUACAAAAUUAUUAUGUACAGCUAAGCUCACAGCUCAUGGAUAUAGCACUGCCACUGUUCACAUUGUUCAAAUAUCAAGAGAAUGCUAAUCCCAAAUUAUCGUUCCUAGUUCAAAGGCAAGCUUAAGGGAUUUUUUUUCUUUUUCUUUUCUUUUUUCUUUCUUUUUU